UACGGGGGGGGUAAGUGUUGUUCGGAAUUACUGGGCGUAAAGGGCUCGUAGGCGGCCAACUAAGUCAUACGUGAAAUCCCUCAGCUUAACUGGGGAACUGCGUGUGAUACUGGAUGGCUUGGAUUUGGGAGAGGGAUGCGGAAUUCCAGGUGUAGCGGUGAAAUGCGUAGAUAUCAGGAGGAACACCGGUGGCGAAGGCGGGAUCCUGGGCCAGUACUGACGCUGAGGAGCGAAAGCGUGGGUAGCAAACAGG
rnacentral:rRNA from 1 species